rnacentral:misc_RNA from 1 species
CUGAUUCUCUAUAAAUUCUGGUUUAUUUUAAGUUGGUGAUCUUAUCAGAGUCGAGUUACUGAGAAUUGGGAGCUGUCUGUGCUUGGGUUUGAGAAGAACAUCGACGAAAGGAAAUGUGGGGAUUUGGGGGGAGGUAUUAUUGGGGGAGAAGGGAAAGGAAAAGGGUAGGGAUAGUGGUGAUAUUUGCUUGGAUGUCGAGCCAAGAGAAG